UUUUGCAGAGAAUGCACUAAAACACCACUGAAGACUCUGAUCCAAACAGCUGGCCAGAAACUACACACAGACAGUGAAACUGAGUGUCCAUCAUGAUGCGUUUGAAGAUGUUGAAGAGAAUUAGAGAGAGUAGGCAUCCUUGACACAUACUUACUGUCAUCAUGAACCAGCUACAGAAGGAGUCCUUUGAAGAGGACUGCAUGGUGGCCUUGUCAUGACGCUGACAUGGUAACUUGGGGCUGAUGUUGUCACCCAUAAAUCUGUCUACCAGACCCAGUCAAGCACUUUCUUGAAAUUCACAAAACAAAAUCUAUGUCCUGCCCUGGAAUCCAGCCUGUGUCUCUGCAAUUAUUAAGCUUGAGAGAUUCAGUAUUGUUUUUCAGAAGAACUUAAUAGCUGCUUAACUGAAGUUGAUGGUCAUGGUGUCUACAUUCAACUCUUCUGCAUUCAGGAUGAGCACUGGUGCAAAUUUUAUUCCAAGAUUUCUGCCACCUUGGGAUCUCGCAAUUUGUACAGAUCUGUCUAGUGCUCUUUGCAUUUGUCAUGUUUUUCAGUUGAAGGCAAAAAUGCAUGAUUGCUUCCAAUACGUGACCUUGGAGCACUAAAGCAGUCAUAAGUAGCAGUGGUAUAUUUGUAGCAAUAGCCAACAAUACACUUUAUGGGUCAAAAUUAUCCAUUUUUCUUUUAUGCCAAAAAUCUUUAGGAUUUUAAGUAAAGAUCAUGUUGCAUGAAGAUAUUUUGUAAAUUUUCUACUGUAAAUACAUAAAAACUUUAUUUUUGAUUAGUAAUAUGCAUUGCUAAAAACUUCAUUUGAACAACUUUAAAGGCGAUUUUCUCAAUAUUUAGAUUUCUUUGCACCCUCAGAUUCCAGAUUUUCAAUCCUAAUCCUUGUCCUGUCCUAACAAACCACACAUCAAUGGAAAGAUUAUUUAUUCAGCUUUCAGAUGGUGUUUAUAGAACGUUUUUAGAACCACAUCAUUUGGACCACUGGGAAAAUAAAAAUAAAAACAGUAAACUUGAAUGUUAUUGGGUCAUCGAUUACUCUUAUUCUGUUUGUUUUUUUCUUAUUAAUAUUUUUAUCCAUUUCUUAGCACAUUUAUUUAUUACAAUUUAUUGUUUUUUGUUAUUGCUAUUGAGUAAAGCUCUUUUUCUCGUCAUUACUGGUUUUGUGUAUAAUGCUUUGGCAAUAUUGUGUGUAAACAAUCAUUAUACUAAAUUCCACUGACGAAGGAAACAGAGAGGAAAAUGAGAGAGAGGCGGAUGCUGGGGAGGGCAUGAGAGGAAAGCGAUCAUUAAUGAGGGAACGGCAGAUGCUCCAAUCUGUCGAGUGGAUUCAUCCGUCAGGAUAAUAACACUGCUGGCUCCUGUCUACUCAGGCCUGUGUCUGUUACUGAGCGAGACAGACACACCUGCGAUUCUCUCAAGAUUUACACUGAUCGGACUGAUACAGUGCACUGGAUAUGGAUCAUAUAUGUGACCCUUGACCACAAAACCAGUCAUAAUGGUCAAUUUUUUUUUUUCUAAUUGAGAUUAAUACAUGAUCUGAAGCUGGAUAAAUUGGCUUUCCAUUGAUGUAUGAUUUGUUAGAAUAGAACCAUAUUUAGCUGAGAUACAACUAUUUGAAAAUCUGGAAUCCGAGGGUGUAAAAAAAUACAAAUAUUGAGAAAAUCACCUUUAAAGUUGUCGACUUAGCAAUGCAUAUUAUCAUACAAAAAUUAAGUUUUGAAAUAUUUACGGUAGGAAAUUUACAAAAUAUCUUCAUGGAACAUGAUCUUUAUUUAAUAUCCUAAUGAUUUUUGGCCU
ensembl:lncRNA